rnacentral:rRNA from 1 species
UACGGGGGGAGCAAGCGUUGUUUCGGAUUUACUGGCGUAAAGGGCGCGUAGGCGGCCACCGCAAGUCGACUGUGAAAUCUCCGGGCUUAACCCGGAAAGGUCAGCCGAUACUGCGGGGCUAGAGUGCAGAAGGGGCAACUGGGAAUUCUCGGUGUAGCGGUGAAAUGCGUAGAUAUCGAGAGGAACACCUGCGGCGAAGGCGGGUUGCUGGGCCGACACUGACGCUGAUGCGCGAAAGCCAGGGAGCGAACGGAUUAGAGU